rnacentral:rRNA from 1 species
AUUGAACGCUGGCGGCAGGCUUAACACAUGCAAGUCGAGCGGAGAUGAGGUGCUUGCACCUUAUCUUAGCGGCGGACGGGUGAGUAAUGCUUAGGAAUCUGCCUAUUAGUGGGGGACAACAUUCCGAAAGGAAUGCUAAUACCGCAUACGUCCUACGGGAGAAAGCAGGGGAUCUUCGGACCUUGCGCUAAUAGAUGAGCCUAAGUCGGAUUAGCUAGUUGGUGGGGUAAAGGCCUACCAAGGCGACGAUCUGUAGCGGGUCUGAGAGGAUGAUCCGCCACACUGGGACUGAGACACGGCCCAGACUCCUACGGGAGGCAGCAGUGGGGAAUAUUGGACAAUGGGCGGAAGCCUGAUCCAGCCAUGCCGCGUGUGUGAAGAAGGCCUUUUGGUUGUAAAGCACUUUAAGCGAGGAGGAGGCUACUAGUACUAAUACUACUGGAUAGUGGACGUUACUCGCAGAAUAAGCACCGGCUAACUCUGUGCCAGCCGCCGCAGUAAGAC